ensembl:lncRNA
GAAUUACAGGGCUGCUGCAGCUGGCUGAGUAAGCACAAGAUCAGUCUCUUCUUCCCACAGACUCUGCUUGCUCCUCACACAUCUCGGCCCCCCACUCUUAGGUCCACCAUGUGCUAUUCGAAGGUCAAGACCUCAGAAUUGGAAGAUUUCAGGCAACUUGUUCACCAGAAAGCUGACCAGUUCAUAGACAGCAUUAAAUUGAGAAUAAAUGAGGAUGAUGAUUCAACAGACUUGGAAAAUAUUCAAAAUUUAACCUCUCAGUACGAGGACCUGGGGAUCCCUGUCACUGAGCAGCUGAAGUUGAAGGAGAAAAUGAAGAAUGAUGAUGAGAAUGACAACACUACCACCACCAUCAACAUCAAUAAUAACACCAAUACCACCAUCAACAUCAACACCAAUACCAACACCAACACUAACAUCAACACCACCACCAAUGCUACCAUCAAUGUCAACAUCAACACCAACAUCAACACCAACAACAUCAACAACACUACCACCACCAUCAACAUCAACAACACCAAUACCACCAUCAAUAUCAACAGCAACACCAACAUCAACAACAACAUCAACAACACCAAGACCAACAUCAAAAUCAACACCAACACCAACAUCAACAUCAACAUCAACAACACCAAUACCACCAUCAACAUCAACACCAACACCAACAUCAACACUAACAUCAACAUCAACAACAACACCAAUGCUACCAUCAAUGUCAACAUCAACACCAACACCAACAUCAACAACACUAAGACCAACGUCAAAAUCGACACCAAGACCAAUGUCAAAAUCAACACCAAAGCCAAGACCACCAUCAACAUCAACAUCAACAACAACAAUAAUGAAGAUGGCAACAAAGACAACAGCUCUUAUAUGUCGAAGUUUCCGAAAAUGAUUAAGAAUUGGUUCAAAGAUUUGACUGAAAUUUUGGAGGAAUUACUGAUUUUAUUUUUUCUUUGUUUUCUUUUUUAAUUUUUGUAUUUUUUUUGUUUUUUGUUUUUUGUCUUUUGGCUAGGCAAUGGGGUUAAGUGACUUGCCCAGGGUCACACAGCUAGUAUGUGUUAUGUGUCUGAGGCCAGAUUUGAACUGAGGUCCUCCUGACUCCAGGGCCGGUGCUCUACCCACUGCGCCAUCUAACUGCCCCAUAGGGAUUACUGUUUUUAAUGAAGAGUGUAGUUUCUGUAGCAAAGCCAGUGAAAUGUAUGUAGAAGAGAUUGGUAAACCUGUUUUAAUUUCCUCGAUAGUAGAAACAGCUGCAUGUCAUGGGCACCUUGUAAGGCUUCUAGAUAUAGGGUAAUUUUGAUUCUUUUCAAAUUAUAAACUUCACCAAAAAAAAGAAGGUAGAGGAGAAUUUCCAUGCACACAGCAGAAUAUCAAAGAAGAUUCUAUACAUAAACCUAAAUUUCUAUUUCAUACCACUUGCUUUAUUAAAAAAAAAAGAAAAUCUAUUCAUUACAUUGGGAUCUUUGCUGACUAUAUGUGCUUCCUUCUGAUUUCUUCUGUGCAUUAAAAAAACAAAGUUUCAAUGGUCUUUUUCUGGUGUUUUCCUCUAAGCAUCUAAGUCACUAUAAGCCUUAUAUCCAGAUUAAUUAUCCUGAAGGGUAGCACAAAGUCCAAGCUUUGUAGCCACGUUGGCAAUGCUGGCUCUGUCCCCAAAGUGGUAGACUAUCAGUGUUCACUGCUAACACAAGCUAGACCAAGGAGGAAGUUGUGGUUUGUAUGGGUUCCUUUUGUUUUUUAAAGCAAGGCAGAUGGUAAAUUUCCACAUGAAAUUCAAACUGUUCAAGUUCAGCCUCAAAUAACUGAGGUAACAGUUUUGGAGACAUUAGAAAAUUACCCAGAUAGAGAAUCAAAGGGAGAGGAUUCUGGGAAGAUGGUAGGUUAGGUCAGAAAACUUUCAGCUCUCCAAAUUUCUUCCACAGAAAAAGACAGAGGUAAAGCAGUUAUUCUCUUAAAAUAAGCUAAGAAGACCCCAGGAAAGACCUCCUAGGGCAGCGGUUUAGCCUGGGUAAAGUGCAAACACCUCCAGGCCAACUCUGUAGAGUCAACAAACAACAAGCCCUGAGGACAGCUGGGGUGGAGGGCCAGCCUUAGCCUUAGAAACUUUCAUCUCCUGUACAGUGUGGGGUAUGAUGGCUGAGUAGGAGAAGAAUGAAGGACCUUCCGCCAUUGAGGGACGCCAAGCACAGCUGUGCUGACCAGAUGUGUCUGGGGCUGGGCUGGGCUGCUGCUAUGGGGAAGGAGUUAGCAAAUACCUGGUGAGUGCAGUAGCAGAGGGGCAUAGACCUUGCUGACUGUGGACACUUACUGGAAAGCAGACUUCUUGGCUUCAGUUCCAGGCAGGAUAGGACAGCUAUAGUUUGCAGCUACUGGAGGGACCACAAAGGGAGCAAAAUCAUUUGUGGGACAGUGUGGCUGGUGUCCCUAGCCGUGGCUUAGGAGUAGAGAAGAGAGCCCAAGGUUGAGUCCUGAGACAGACUUCAGAAAAUAACAGUAAGAAGGACCUGAGGCUUGGAGCAUCAUUCCCCACACCUUGGGGGACUAGAACUUUAUCACACUAAGAGCUGCUAAAAACAAAUUAAAAUAAAAAAAUGAAUAAAAAUGAGCA